UUUCCAGUAGCACCUUAGAGACCAACUAAGUUUGUUAUUGGUAUGAGCUUUCGUGUGCAUGCACACUCAUACCAAUAACAAACUUAGUCUCUAAGGUGCUACUGGAAG
rnacentral:miRNA from 1 species